rnacentral:rRNA from 1 species
GUAGGUGGCAAGCGUUGUCCGGAAUUAUUGGGCGUAAAGCGCGCGCAGGCGGUCCUUUAAGUCUGAUGUGGAAGCCCACGGCUCAACCGUGGAGGGUCAUUGGAAACUGGGGGACUUGAGUACAGAAGAGGAAAGCGGAAUUCCAAGUGUAGCGGUGAAAUGCGUAGAGAUUUGGAGGAACACCAGUGGCGAAGGCGGCUUUCUGGUCUGUAACUGACGCUGAGGCGCGAAAGCGUGGGGAGCAAACAGGGAUUAGAUACCCUGGUAGUCCACGCCGUAAACGAUGAGUGCUAAGUGUUAGGGGGGUUUCCGCCCCCUUAGUGCUGCAGCUAACGCAUUAAGCACUCCGCCUGGGGAGUACGGCCGCAAGGCUG